CUUCUUUUUUCCUUUUACCUUCUCGAAAAAGCUUCGUGCACCGUACUCUCUUAUAGAAUCUACCCUAAUUUAACCCAAGAAGGCAAGCCGACAAAUGCACAAAAUCCAAACAAGAAGACAAAACAAACCCAACCCUAGUUUUUCUUUACUUUCCUUGUAGGGUUUUGCUGUUUUUUUUUGGUAAAAAUCUUGUGGUUGGAAAACCACUCCAAGUUUUAUGAGUGGUUGGGCGUGCGUCAACACGAACUGUUAGAUUUUGUAAGAGGGAAGGACACUUGUCAAUGUGUCACCGACACCUGUUCAUCUUGCAUGAUAGAGAGAGAGAGAGAAAGAAAGAAAGAAAGCAAGAAAGUGAUGUGAUCCUAUUAAAAGCCAAGCAAGUUUUAGCUCCUAUCUACUUCCUUCCUUCUGGUGAAGUGAGUGUGUGUGGAAGUAGAGAGAAGAUAGAGAGAAGAAACAACAAGGGUUAUUUCUUGAAUUCCAUUUUUGUGGUAAUUUUUGUUUAAUUAUUGCUUGCUUUCUUGGAUUUUUGGUAUAGAUCAAGAGAUAGAAACCCUAGUAUGCUUUUUCGAAAUUUAUGAUUUGAGUAAAAACAAAAUUGUUUUAAAACAAAAUCUUCUUUUAUAGAUUUACACUUACAAAUUACACUAAAAGAGAUGCAAUUUGCUUCAGAAUUACUCCAUUAAAAACUAAUUUCAUUAGCACUCUUUUCUCUUCAACGUAUACUUGAAAUAUUUUUUUUAAGAUAAUAACAAAUUAAUUAAUUCCAUAAACAAUAUGUUUUCAUCACUUCAAGUUACCUCAAGUGAAAUGAAUUUCAUAAUUUUAAAUCGUGUUCCAAGCAAAUCAAAUGAAUUCCAUCUACUUAAACAGCUGAAAACAAUAUUUGGAUCCGAUCAGGUGCAUGUAAAUCUCUUAGAUUUGUGUUUUAACACCAAAAAGAGAGGUGAUCAAUGGUAGGUAGAUCUUUUGGCAACUUUCCUUAAAAGGGUAUCACUUGUUUCUCAGAUCUGACUGAAUUCUUCUAUGCAUUUUGUGCUAAAUUUCUUUCUUUUCUUUCCAUUUUUUGGUAAGCUAUAUCUUUCACUCAAGAACUGAUCCACGAAAAAAAAGGGUUUCGUUUGUUUUUGUUUUUUCUUCUUCUGGACAUUAGAAACUGACAGAAGAGAGUGAGCACACAGAGGCAUAUUUGUAUAAAUCUAUACCAUUGCUUUUGCGUGCUCACUUCUCAUUCUGUCAGCUUCCAGAGCCGGAAUUCGGCCUGUUUUUUGCUCCAGAAAUUCCUUUCUUUCUCAUCUUUUACGUCUCUUUACAAACCCAAACAAAAAAGGCUCCUGGAAGAUGAAGAUGGUGGUGUAUAGUAGGCAAAAAAUGGAGAAGCAGCAGCAAGGUAUCUAAUUUGUGUUUCGUUUUUUUUUUUGCGUUUGAAUCUUGAUUAGUUUCUGAUGUAUUAAAUUAUAGUUUAGUUUAAUAGCGUGUCUUUUGAUGGAGUUUAAGCCAGAUUACUGUGCAAUUUAUAGCGGCAAAACACUGUGUAGGGUAGUGUAUAUAUAGCAUGGGACCAUUUCAUUCACGUUUUCUCUUGCUAAUAUUUUCGAGUAUCUCUUUGCAAAGCCAAACACCCUCCUUUUCUUUUUCUUUUGCUCUUUCUCUUGCGCAUGCGAUUAUGUUAUUAUCUACUCGAGAUUUGAAUCUGAUUUGACCUUGUCUUCACCUGAAUCUUUUCUUAUACUGUUUGUGAAAAUGAGUUUUCCUUCAAAACCCUAGUCUAGCUACAAAUAGGGCUGCUUCUUGUAUUAAUGGAGAAGGGAUUUGUGGUGAGUCGUCUUUUGCUUGCUCUUAGUAAAAACUGAUCUGAUCAUUUUCCAUUGGCUCUUGGAAAUGGGUUUUGUUUUAUAUUUUUCUUCUUUUGAUUUGAAGUGCAUGUGAUGUUCUAAGAACAAAAUAAGAGACAUGAAAUCUUUAAAUUAUCGCAUGUAGUGAUAUCUUUCCAGAAAUAUGAAAUUUCUGCAGCCAUAGUUGCUCCUUGCUGUGCUCUUUUUUUUUUUUAGCUUUUUGCAGAUAGGCAUGGGAUGGUCAACUCAUUUAUCACGAAGAAGACAAAAUCUAGUCAAAAACAGGUUUUUGGAAGUACUUCAGUGCAAAUUCGAGCAAAAAUCUCUCACAUGGUCUGUGUGGUUCCUGGCUUUCAAGUUUUUAAAUCAUCAACUUGUUUCUUCUAUUCUUGAUUCACAUCAAGAUAUGUCCCAAGAUUCUUGCUGGGAGUAUAGAUCGGAAAUGAAGGGUCAUCACCAAGAGUAUGAGAAAUGUGAUAGUUCUGUGCGUUGACUCGUGGGCCGGCCUUCAAUUGCUUUAGAGAUCUAACGGUAGCUCGCGAGGAUUUGUAUGAAUUAACUAGAUCAUCAGAUGGGGAAUUGACCAGCCUAUCAUGGAGGAAAUCCAAAAAAAAGAAGAAGGGGGGUGGGGGGGUAUGGAUUUAGCUAGGAAGGAUAAAAGAUUAGCUCUGCUGAUGAUCACUUUCAACUUUAGGAUUGGUACAAGUAGCCUGAACAGAUGACCCUCGUAGCUUUUGUUAAUCUUAAUUCGAGUAAUUAGUGAUUUAGACAUUGCGUUGCUUCUUAUAGUAGCUUGAAGUCAAUGAGUGAUUUCAAGUCCUCGUUACAGAGAAAAGGCAGAAAAAUUAUAUUUUGCUUUAAGUUUCAUAACUUCUACUUACAUUUUGUAAUUUUAAAUUUGAAAAUUUGUAACAUUCAUCUACAAAUUUUAUAUUUUUCUCGGCCUCUACGUUUUUUUUUAUUUUUAUAAAAGAAUGCGACAACAGAUGUAUGAUUUUUUAUAAUAUUUCGAGUGGUCAAGGUUAAAAUAAAGUUAUAGGCAAUGGUUAUACAUGCAUGAAUAGGAUGCAUGUCCUAAGGUCUAACUCGGCUUAUGGCAUCGAUCCUAGUGAGACACCUCAAGACAAGGGAGAUUGCUUAAGGUUAGUGAUCACACACUUGGACAAGUGAAAAUAUUUACUUGAUAGCUAAUCUUGGAUUAUACAUUAGCUUUGCACCUCUUUUAUAGGUGAUAGGAUGUCGUGAAAUCUUCACGCACACUUGCAGAUACAUCGGUGUUGGAUGCAUGCAUAAAUCUUAGGACCUUCUGUUUACAUGCAUGGCACUAUUCAUGCAUGUGUAACACUUAGCCAGAAGCCUUAUCUGAUCUUAAUUACAACAUGGCACAAACAUAACAGUGACACGUACAUGCAUGUGAUCUUGUAUUCCCUUUUUUAGUUGAAUUUUACUAAAGUCAUUUGAUAUAAUUCUUUAACUUUUCAAUCAUUGCACUACAAAUUUUCUCUGAUUAUACCUAUAAAUUCAUACAUAAUAAUAUAGAUAAAAUUAUAAAAAAAAGGGUCCCGAUUUGAUUUGAAGAAGAGCAUGACUUAGAAGUCAUCAUAGAUUGUAUGAAGGCACCUUCUUCAGGAAAUUUCUGUUGAUUCUAGCAUUUAUAUGAGCCAUGAGUUUAUGCACCAUGAAAUUCUUAAAUUUAUGAUCUCUAUACAUCUCAAUCACUGUUGAAUUUUCAAACAAGCUUCUUCUCCACAAAAUUCAACUCCGUCAAAGGUUACAUGCUCUCUAUAGUCCUUACCUGUAGUUCAUUGCCGUAUUCGUCGUCAUAUUUUCCCAUGUUUUCUGCCUAUUUAUAAAAUUCUAAAAUUCGGCCUUCACUUGUAUGUAGAAUCAACAGAGAGCCGGGGAACCUAUGACUUUGUGCCAACUGAAUUUGGCAUGUUCAUUCGGUAUCCGAAGGAAUUUUAAGGCCAACACCAUGCUGAAAACGUGGAAAGUUAGGAAUUGGUAAAUACAAGAGAACCUCUUUGAACUUUCUUUUGGAAAGUUCAAAAACUCUCCUCCGAGUCACUAAGUCCUUUCGUCUCUUUGAUUUUCCUUAACCCUAUAAAGUGCCUGUGUUAACAAAUGGUGAGAGUGACAUAAAAAAAAAGGAAUUAGCAUAAUGGAGCCCCAUGGCCCAUUGGUGAUAGGGGUGCCUGUUUCAUGAUUGAAAAACUUCCCUUGCAUCUGGAGGUACUGUGGAGAUGAUGCUAAAGAUAUCAACAACCAAUUUAUGAAAAUUCAAAAAUUGAAGACAAUCAAUGGAAUGCUAUUACAUAAAUGGCAAUGGCUGUUCAUGAUGUCUAGUCAAUUCUGAUUGUAUCAAAUACUAGCAGUCCCGAUUAAGCUAUAACCAGGCGUACGAGGUAGUGAUUGUUGGAGUCAAAGGUUUCCUUGUUUGCAAUGUGUUCGUAAUCUAUGGAAUUCAAAUUCUAUGUUUUGAUUAGUCCUAAAUUGAAUGAUUGCGGGAUUGUGAUGCCCCAGAUCAGCAUAUAAUUUGCAGGAGAUUUUAAUUCUUAGUUGCUGGCAAUUUGACUUGAAAUAUCAAGGUCUGCUGUUGGUUUUUUCAUUUUGAACAUUUUUCUCUGGGGGGUUGUCAAAAAUCUGAUGGCUGAAAUGAAAGCUCUCUCUCGAAGGCAUUUGUUAAGAAAAAUAAACACUGUCUCCAUCCCUGCUUAUAUCGAAAAGAUUAUCUUAUGCCUAUUUUCUGGUCAAGUUUUCCUGUGAAUUACAGAGAAAUUUGUCUGGGGUUUCACAACCUCUACCAACAAGAUAACCACAGACCAAAAAUAACAGGUAGGUGUAAACACUGAAAUCAUAUUGAAAUAAUAGAAAGCAGCAGUAGCAGACAUUUUCUCCCAUCAACGAAUUUCAAGUACAUGUUUAUUGUUGUACUACGAAAGAGAUGGCAAGCAGAUAUUGAUUGCUUACAUGAAACUUGCGCAGAUACAAGAACUCAAGGUGUCACCAGUGCCCCGGCAAGCAUCGGCUUCAAAAGCCUUCAAAGGUCUUGCAUGGAACGGAAGGGGAGAUGCAUGCAAAAAUUACACGCCAUUUUUACUAGAUAUUGGAGAAAAAAAUAACCAGAAAUGUGACAUACCUUAUGUUUUGUAGUGCCUGAGUUUGUUUUGGUGCAUAAACUUGUAUGGCGAUACGUGGAGAAAAGGUCCUAUGGCGGGAAAAUACAGGGAUGAUUCCCAAAUCCAAACUGUUUUCUUCUUCCAGGAGGGUUUCAACGGACGCAUAAAUUAGGCUAUAAGAUAUUGUGGGGUCAUCAUCGGAAUAGAUAAAAUAGAUAAUUAUCAUCUCGGGUCGAAAAAUAAGGACGACAUAAAAUGUACGCAACCUCCAAGGAUUUUAUCAAGUCGUUUUGGUGCAUUUUAUGA